rnacentral:rRNA from 1 species
AGCGAACGCUGGCGGCAGGCCUAACACAUGCAAGUCGAACGAACCUUUCGGGGUUAGUGGCGGACGGGUGAGUAACACGUGGGAACGUGCCUUUAGGUUCGGAAUAAAUCAGGGAAACUUGUGCUAAUACCGAAUGUGCCCUUCGGGGGAAAGAUUUAUCGCCUUUAGAGCGGCCCGCGUCUGAUUAGCUAGUUGGUUGAGGUAAUGGCUCACCAAGGCGACGAUCAGUAGCUGGUCUGAGAGGAUGAUCAGCCACAUUGGGACUGAGACACGGCCCAAACUCCUACGGGAGGCAGCAGUGGGGAAUCUUGCGCAAUGGGCGAAAGCCUGACGCAGCCAUGCCGCGUGAAUGAUGAAGGUCUUAGGAUUGUAAAAUUCUUUCACCGGGGACGAUAAUGACGGUACCCGGAGAAGAAGCCCCGGCUAACUUCGUG